ensembl:lncRNA
GGUCGAGGAGCUAAGAUCCCAUCUGCCCCAGGGCAAGUAGAGAGCCCCUGUGUUACCACUAGAGAAGUGUGAGCGCCGCAACUACUGAGCUGGAGGAAAUUUUAUAGGUGUCAAUAGAUUCAGUGAUGUGCCUUAACGCAUGUGAAAACCAGGCUUGCCAGCUGCUGUUCAGAGAAAAUGGCUCUCUACAACUAGAAAAUCAACCCAGGACUGUGGAAGAAGAGAGCAGAGAAUCAGGACUUGGACUCUUCACUGCCAGAGUCUCCUGCCUAACCUCGAGAUACAUCCAUAAACCUAAAUUAGAAAAAUAGUUAUCAAG